AUUGAACGCUGGCGGCAUGCCUUACACAUGCAAGUCGAACGGCAGCACGGGUGCUUGCCCCUGGUGGCGAGUGGCGAACGGGUGAGUAAUACAUCGGAACAUGUCCUGUAGUGGGGGAUAGCCCGGCGAAAGCCGGAUUAAUACCGCAUACGAUCUACGGAUGAAAGCGGGGGACCUUCGGGCCUCGCGCUAUAGGGUUGGCCGAUGGCUGAUUAGCUAGUUGGUGGGGUAAAGGCCUACCAAGGCGACGAUCAGUAGCUGGUCUGAGAGGACGACCAGCCACACUGGGACUGAGACACGGCCCAGACUCCUACGGGAGGCAGCAGUGGGGAAUUUUGGACAAUGGGCGAAAGCCUGAUCCAGCAAUGCCGCGUGUGUGAAGAAGGCCUUCGGGUUGUAAAGCACUUUUAUCCGGAAAGAAAUCCUUGGCCCUAAUACGGUCGGGGGAUGACGGUACCGGAAGAAUAAGCACCGGCUAACUACGUG
rnacentral:rRNA from 1 species